rnacentral:rRNA from 1 species
GGGUUGUGAGGUUAAGCGACUAAGCGUACACGGUGGAUGCCCUGGCAGUCAGAGGCGAUGAAGGGCGUGCUAAUCUGCGAUAAGCGCCGGUAAGGUGAUAUGAACCGUUAUAACCGGCGAUACCCGAAUGGGGAAACCCAGUGUGACUCGUCACACUAUCAUUAACUGAAUCCAUAGGUUAAUGAGGCGAACCGGGGGAACUGAAACAUCUAAGUACCCCGAGGAAAAGAAAUCAACCGAGAUUCCCCCAGUAGCGGCGAGCGAACGGGGAGGAGCCCAGAGCCUGAAUCAGCAUGUGUGUUAGUGGAAGCGUCUGGAAAGGCGCGCGAUACAGGGUGACAGCCCCGUACACAAAAGCGCAUGUGCUGUGAGCUCGAUGAGUAGGGCGGGACACGUGGUAUCCUGUCUGAAUAUGGGGGGACCAUCCUCCAAGGCUAAAUACUCCUGACUGACCGAUAGUGAACCAGUACCGUGAGGGAAAGGCGAAAAGAACCCCGGCGAGGGGAGUGAAAAAGAACCUGAAACCGUGUACGUACAAGCAGUGGGAGCACCCUUUGGGUGUGACUGCGUACCUUUUGUAUAAUGGGUCAGCGACUUAUAUUCUGUAGCAAGGUUAACCGAAUAGGGGAGCCGGAGGGAAACCGAGUCUUAAUUGGGCGUUAAGUUGCAGGGUAUAGACCCGAAACCCGGUGAUCUAGCCAUGGGCAGGUUGAAGGUUGGGUAACACUAACUGGAGGACCGAACCGACUAAUGUUGAAAAAUUAGCGGAUGACCUGUGGCUGGGGGUGAAAGGCCAAUCAAACCGGGAGAUAGCUGGUUCUCCCCGAAAGCUAUUUAGGUAGCGCCUCGUGAAUUCAUCUCCGGGGGUAGAGCACUGUUUCGGCUAGGGGGCCAUCCCGGCUUACCAACCCGAUGCAAACUGCGAAUACCGGAGAAUGUUAUCACGGGAGACACACGGCGGGUGCUAACGUCCGUCGUGAAGAGGGAAACAACCCAGACCGCCAGCUAAGGUCCCAAAGUCAUGGUUAAGUGGGAAACGAUGUGGGAAGGCCCAGACAGCCAGGAUGUUGGCUUAGAAGCAGCCAUCAUUUAAAGAAAGCGUAAUAGCUCACUGGUCGAGUCGGCCUGCGCGGAAGAUGUAACGGGGCUAAACCAUGCACCGAAGCUGCGGCAGCGACACUGUGUGUUGUUGGGUAGGGGAGCGUUCUGUAAGCCUGCGAAGGUGGCCUGUGAGGGUUGCUGGAGGUAUCAGAAGUGCGAAUGCUGACAUAAGUAACGAUAAAGCGGGUGAAAAGCCCGCUCGCCGGAAGACCAAGGGUUCCUGUCCAACGUUAAUCGGGGCAGGGUGAGUCGACCCCUAAGGCGAGGCCGAAAGGCGUAGUCGAUGGGAAACGGGUUAAUAUUCCCGUACUUGGUGUUACUGCGAAGGGGGGACGGAGAAGGCUAUGUUGGCCGGGCGACGGUUGUCCCGGUUUAAGCGUGUAGGUGUGUGUUCCAGGUAAAUCCGGUUCACUUUAACACUGAGGCGUGACGACGAGGCACUACGGUGCUGAAGCAACAAAUGCCCUGCUUCCAGGAAAAGCCUCUAAGCAUCAGGUAACAUCAAAUCGUACCCCAAACCGACACAGGUGGUCAGGUAGAGAAUACCAAGGCGCUUGAGAGAACUCGGGUGAAGGAACUAGGCAAAAUGGUGCCGUAACUUCGGGAGAAGGCACGCUGACACGUAGGUGAAGUGAUUUACUCAUGGAGCUGAAGUCAGUCGAAGAUACCAGCUGGCUGCAACUGUUUAUUAAAAACACAGCACUGUGCAAACACGAAAGUGGACGUAUACGGUGUGACGCCUGCCCGGUGCCGGAAGGUUAAUUGAUGGGGUCAGCGCAAGCGAAGCUCCUGAUCGAAGCCCCGGUAAACGGCGGCCGUAACUAUAACGGUCCUAAGGUAGCGAAAUUCCUUGUCGGGUAAGUUCCGACCUGCACGAAUGGCGUAAUGAUGGCCAGGCUGUCUCCACCCGAGACUCAGUGAAAUUGAACUCGCUGUGAAGAUGCAGUGUACCCGCGGCAAGACGGAAAGACCCCGUGAACCUUUACUAUAGCUUGACACUGAACAUUGAGCCUUGAUGUGUAGGAUAGGUGGGAGGCUUUGAAGUGUGGACGCCAGUCUGCAUGGAGCCGACCUUGAAAUACCACCCUUUAAUGUUUGAUGUUCUAACGUGGACCCGUUACCCGGGUUGCGGACAGUGUCUGGUGGGUAGUUUGACUGGGGCGGUCUCCUCCUAAAGAGUAACGGAGGAGCACGAAGGUUGGCUAAUCCUGGUCGGACAUCAGGAGGUUAGUGCAAUGGCAUAAGCCAGCUUGACUGCGAGCGUGACGGCGCGAGCAGGUGCGAAAGCAGGUCAUAGUGAUCCGGUGGUUCUGAAUGGAAGGGCCAUCGCUCAACGGAUAAAAGGUACUCCGGGGAUAACAGGCUGAUACCGCCCAAGAGUUCAUAUCGACGGCGGUGUUUGGCACCUCGAUGUCGGCUCAUCACAUCCUGGGGCUGAAGUAGGUCCCAAGGGUAUGGCUGUUCGCCAUUUAAAGUGGUACGCGAGCUGGGUUUAGAACGUCGUGAGACAGUUCGGUCCCUAUCUGCCGUGGGCGCUGGAGAACUGAGGGGGGCUGCUCCUAGUACGAGAGGACCGGAGUGGACGCAUCACUGGUGUUCGGGUUGUCAUGCCAAUGGCACUGCCCGGUAGCUAAAUGCGGAAGAGAUAAGUGCUGAAAGCAUCUAAGCACGAAACUUGCCCCGAG